CUUCUGACUCCCAGGCCCGUGAGCCAUGCUGCUUCUCCACAGGAUGCUUACGCUCUAAAAGCAGAGCGCGUCCUUGAUGGGUACCACGCCAGGCCUCUGGAGAGUCAUUGUAGAGUUGUCUUUUGCUCAAAAAUGACCUUGCAGGUGUUGAAACUGCUCCCAUAAAGAACUGGUAAUGAGCAGUGAAGUGAUCGAGUGGACAGUAGAAGAAGUCAAGAUCACUGAAGAUCCACUGACAGGUGGAAAGGCAAAGACAGCGUGAAUUUCCUUCUUCCAGUCAAAGACGGUGGGAACCAUUGACCCUUCUCUACGCAGAAGGAAGACUGCAUCACAAACAGCCACUGCUCCGAGCUGCCCCACCAUUUCACCAGCAGCUCCAUCUUCGGUUUUGAAGGCUUCCCUUCAAACGUGAUCUUUAAAAAACAAACAAAAAAGUAGGGGUUGCAUGAAAAGACUAAGGAAUAAAGGACUGACUUGCGAUCGAUA